GAUGAACGCUGGCGGCGUGCCUAAUACAUGCAAGUCGAGCGAACAGAUGAGGAGCUUGCUCCUCUGACGUUAGCGGCGGACGGGUGAGUAACACGUGGAUAACCUACCUAUAAGACUGGGAUAACUUCGGGAAACCGGAGCUAAUACCGGAUAAUAUAUUGAACCGCAUGGUUCAAUAGUGAAAGACGGUUUUGCUGUCACUUAUAGAUGGAUCCGCGCCGCAUUAGCUAGUUGGUAAGGUAACGGCUUACCAAGGCAACGAUGCGUAGCCGAACUGAGAGGGUGAUCGGCCACACUGGAACUGAGACACGGUCCAGACUCCUACGGGAGGCAGCAGUAGGGAAUCUUCCGCAAGGGGCGAAAGCCUGACGGAGCAACGCCGCGUGAGUGAUGAAGGGCUUCGGAUCGUAAAACUCUGUUAUUAGGGAAGAACAAAUGUGUAAGUAACGAUGCACGUCUGGACGGUACCUAAUCAGAAAGCCACGGCUAACUACGU
rnacentral:rRNA from 1 species